AUAUCUGUAAUCAGUUUGAACUCUGUUGGGAUGGAGGCUCUGCAGAGCACUGCCUUGGCAUAUAGGCCAAACAGUGAAGAGAGAGUCCAACAGGUAUUGUGACCAUCCCAUGGCUUAAUGUAUUUAUAUUCCAAAUCCCAAUAACCAUUCUUCUAAGUCUAGAUAAUCAGCUCAUCCUUUUCAUUUUUUGAUGAUCAGUAGCCUCCUUAAUUUUGCAUCAAGAGUUCCAUCUAGCACCAUUGUCUCCUUGAUCUUUCUUUUGCAAAC
rnacentral:lncRNA from 1 species